CAUGCGGGUGCUACCAUGCAAGUCGAACGUGAUCCGCCCUUCGGGGUGGUGAAAGUGGCGCACGGGUGAGUAACGCGUGGAUAAUCUGCCCGAGGAUUUGGGAUAACAUCUCGAAAGGGGUGCUAAUACCGAAUAAGCCCACGGGGUCUACGGAUCUUGCGGGAAAAGGGGGGGACCUUCGGGCCUCCUGUCCUUGGAUGAGUCUGCGUACCAUUAGCUAGUUGGUGGGGUAAUGGCCUACCAAGGCGACGAUGGUUAGCUGGUCUGAGAGGAUGAUCGGCCACACUGGAACUGAGACACGGUCCAGACUCCUACGGGAGGCAGCAGUGGGGAAUUUUGCGCAAUGGGGGAAACCCUGACGCAGCAACGCCGCGUGGGUGAUGAAGGCCUUCGGGUCGUAAAGCUCUGUCUGGAGGGAAGAAAUGAUUGGGAGCUAAUACCUCUUGAUCUUGACGGUACCUCUGAAGGAAGCACCGGCUAACUCCGUGCCAGCAGCCGCGGUAAUACGGAGGGUGCAAGCGUUGUUCGGAAUUAUUGGGCGUAAAGCGCGUGUAGGCGGUCUUUUAAGUCUGAUGUGAAAGCCCCGGGCUCAACCUGGGAAGUGCAUUGGAAACUGGGAGGCUUGAGUACGGGAGAGGAGAGUGGAAUUCCUAGUGUAGGAGUGAAAUCCGUAGAUAUUAGGAGGAACACCGGUGGCGAAGGCGGCUCUCUGGACCGAUACUGACGCUGAGACGCGAAAGCGUGGGUAGCAAACAGGAUUAGAUACCCUGGUAGUCCACGCCGUAACGAUGAGUACUAGUGUGCGGGUAUUGACCCCUGC
rnacentral:rRNA from 1 species